AAUGCACAGGUGGGGUCCCUCGGCCUGGCCUGCGGGAUUGGGCUGAAACAGGCUUUAUGACAUCCCCCGAGGGGUCCCAGAUUGCGAGAGGGCGCAGGCCAGGCUGAGGGACCCCACUGGUGCACA
rnacentral:pre_miRNA from 1 species